rnacentral:lncRNA from 1 species
CAUUGUUUGUGGAGGUUUGAAGUUUGAGGCUCAGUGGAGACUGGAUUUUGAUAAGCAAACACAAUAUUUAUAUAUUUUCAAAUGUUCAUGUAGGCUUGCAGCUUUUUGUAUUCUGUUAAGUAGACUGUAAAAGAGACUUGGGAGAAAGAAAUUUUAUUUUGAAGGAAAGAAGAGAGCUCUAUCAAAAGUUUAUCUGCGUUUCUUAAUAGUGAGAUUUAUUAAAUGGGUAUCUUAGUACAAUAUGUGCAGCAGUAUUGCAGGCUGCUCUUCUGCUUCUUUCUCAUUUUCUGGAGCACAUCCUUAUUUUUAUAUGUUCCUGUGGCGUAUGAAUCUUUUCUGUGGGCUGCGAACUUCCAGUGUCUGAGAGCAAGAUUGUGUCUUUCCAUGUCCAGGGACUAUCUUCUUGAGACUUGUAUGUUGCAAAGGGAGCUUUUCAGAGAUGAUUCUAACGAAACAAACAUCUCCAGAGGAAAUGAAAUUUGGGCACAGACUUAAGAGCUUGGCCUGAUACUCUGCAGCAGGCAUUCCAGGAAGGGCUGGAAAUGUUAAAGGUAUGGAAUAAUCACCAUCUUUCUGUGGGUCCUA